rnacentral:rRNA from 1 species
AGUGGCGGACGGGUGAGGAACGCGUGGGAACAUACCCUUUAGUACGGAAUAACGUUUGGAAACGAACGCUAAUACCGCAUACGCCCCUUCGGGGGGAAAGAUUUUAUCGCUAAAGGAUUGGCCCGCGCUAGAUUAGCUAGUUGGUAAGGUAAUGGCUUACCAAGGCUACGAUCUAUAUCUGGUUUGAGAGGAUGAUCAGACACACUGGGACUGAGACACGGCCCAGACUCC